GAUGAACGCUGGCGGCGUGCCUAAUACAUGCAAGUCGAGCGAACAGACGAGAGUGCUUGCACUCUCUGACGUUAGCGGCGGACGGGUGAGUAACACGUGGAUAACCUACCUAUAAGACUGGGAUAACUUCGGGAAACCGGAGCUAAUACCGGAUAAUAUUUAGCUUCGCAUGAAGCAAUAGUGAAAGACGGUUCUGCUGUCACUUAUAGAUGGACCCGCGGUGUAUUAGCUAGUUGGCGAGGUAACGGCUCACCAAGGCAACGAUACAUAGCCGACCUGAGAGGGUGAUCGGCCACACGGGGACUGAGACACGGCCCAGACUCCUACGGGAGGCAGCAGUAGGGAAUCUUCCGCAAUGGACGAAAGUCUGACGGAGCAAUGCCGCGUGAGUGAAGAAGGUUUUCGGAUCGUAAAACUCUGUUGUAAGGGAAGAACAAGUACGUUAGUAACUGAACGUACCUUGACGGUACCUGACCAGAAAGCCACGGCUAACUACGUG
rnacentral:rRNA from 1 species